GGAAGAAAAUCUUCCUGGGAUGAGGUCACUGUGGAUUCCCGAUGUCCCGGUACUUGUGCAGGACAACUUGGUGUGCCUCACCCGAUGGGACACCCAGCGUCACUUCUCAGAAGCUAUUCAUCACCGCCACCCCCACCUCUGUUGUGGCCUAUGCGGUCUCACCCACCGCCACCACCACCACCACCAGUUACAGCACUCGCACAGUCCAUUUGCCACAUGAAGGGGCCCCUCAGCUGUGGCAAUGAUGUGUUUAGAGAAGAUGUCAGAGGUGCAUUACGGCCCGAAUGUUUCCCUGCUCCAACCUGCCCCCUCUGCUGUUCUCUCUAUUGUCACCCCUAAUGAAAUUGUCACAGUUCUCUCUGUGUCAGUGUCUGCUUCCUGGAGGACUAGUGGUCACACCCUCUUGAGGGCACGCAGUGAUUCACGGGCACACAACUCACAAACCAGCAGGAACUAAGAUGACAGGGCAGA